CGGCAAACAACUUUAAAAGUAUGUUUAGUGCUUUAUCUGUAAAAUUAUGCUAAAAUGAAGAGAUUUUAGAUGGUACGCCAAAGAGAAAAUGAUGUCUGAAGUUCAGUAAGUUUUGCUUAUAUUGCUGUAGAAAUAUGGCGUCAAUUUUACAGCAUCAAUGAUAAUUGUAUUUCAAUUGACAAUAUUUAACUAUUAUUUUGUGUUUCUCAACCGCCAGAUACAUUUAAAACGGUUGCUAACUGUGUGAACUACAAAAUAAAGCUGAAACAAA
rnacentral:lncRNA from 1 species